rnacentral:rRNA from 1 species
GGGCGCAAGCCUGAUGCAGCGACGCCGCGUGAGGGAUGACGGCCUUCGGGUUGUAAACCUCUUUCAAUAGGGACGAAGCGCAAGUGACGGUACCUAUAGAAGAAGGACCGGCCAACUACGUGCCAGCAGCCGCGGUAAUACGUAGGGUCCGAGCGUUGUCCGGAAUUACUGGGCGUAAAGAGCUCGUAGGUGGUUUGUCGCGUUGUUCGUGAAAACUCACAGCUUAACUGUGGGCGUGCGGGCGAUACGGGCAGACUAGAGUACUGCAGGGGAGACUGGAAUUCCUGGUGUAGCGGUGGAAUGCGCAGAUAUCAGGAGGAACACCGGUGGCGAAGGCGGGUCUCUGGGCAGUAACUGACGCUGAGGAGCGAAAGCGUGGGGAGCGAACAGGAUUAGAUACCCUGGUAGUCCACGCCGUAAACGGUGGGUUCUAGGUGUGGGUUUCCUUCCUUGGGAUCCGUGCCGUAGCUAACGCAUUAAGUACCCCGCCUGGGGAGU